rnacentral:rRNA from 1 species
UACGUAGGGCGCAAGCGUUAUCCGGAAUUAUUGGGCGUAAAGAGCUCGUAGGCGGUUUGUCGCGUCUGCCGUGAAAGUCCGGGGCUCAACUCCGGGAUCUGCGGUGGGUACGGGCAGACUAGAGUGAUGUAGGGGGAGACUGGAAUUCCUGGUGUAGCGGUGAAAUGCGUAGAUAUCUGGAGGAACACCGGUGGUGAAGGCGGCGUUCUGGACUGCAACUGACACUGAGGAACGAAAGCCAGGGGAGCAAACGGG